UACACAUGCAGUCGAACGGUGAAGAGAAGCUUGCUUCUCUGGAUCAGUGGCGAACGGGUGAGUAACACGUGAGUAACCUGCCCUUGACUCUGGGAUAAGCGUUGGAAACGACGUCUAAUACCGGAUACGAACCGUGGAGGCAUCUCCUGCGGUUGGAAAGAAUUUUGGUCAAGGAUGGACUCGCGGCCUAUCAGGUAGUUGGUGAGGUAACGGCUCACCAAGCCGACGACGGGUAGCCGGCCUGAGAGGGUGACCGGCCACACUGGGACUGAGACACGGCCCAGACUCCUACGGGAGGCAGCAGUGGGGAAUAUUGCACAAUGGGCGAAAGCCUGAUGCAGCAACGCCGCGUGAGGGACGACGGCCUUCGGGUUGUAAACCUCUUUUAGCAGGGAAGAAGCGAAAGUGACGGUACCUGCAGAAAAAGCACCGGCUAACUACGUGCCAGCAGCCGCGGUAAUACGUAGGGUGCAAGCGUUGUCCGGAAUUAUUGGGCGUAAAGAGCUCGUAGGCGGUUUGUCGCGUCUGCUGUGAAAACGCGAGGCUCAACCUCGCGCCUGCAGUGGGUACGGGCAGACUAGAGUGCGGUAGGGGAGAUUGGAAUUCCUGGUGUAGCGGUGGAAUGCGCAGAUAUCAGGAGGAACACCGAUGGCGAAGGCAGAUCUCUGGGCCGUAACUGACGCUGAGGAGCGAAAGCAUGGGGAGCGAACAGGAUUAGAUACCCUGGUAGUCCAUGCCGU
rnacentral:rRNA from 2 species